UUAGUGGUUGGGGCAUAGACUCAGAUUACUGUCAUAUUGAAUGGUUUGCUUUGGAAACAAACAGAAGUCAUUCUGUUAGUUUUGAGAUUAUACCGGGUACUACAUUACAGACUUCUGCUGAGUGUGAGGGGUGCUCCUUUUCUUCUAAUGGAUUCUUGCCCACAGUAGUAGAUAUAAUGAUAAGAAUAAGAGGCCUGUUGGAAGCUUCCUGAUGGAAGAGACUGACUGUGGGGGGAUCUUGGACUUGUUCAGAUGGCUGGAGCCAUUCUCAAUACUCAGUGGAUUUUCUGGGUCACGUGGUAAUUCUAUUUUUUAGUUUUUUGAGAAACCUCCAUGCUG